UCCACAAUAAAUGUGUGUAGGAUAUUAAAAAAAAGUCAUAGGUUUCUUAAAAAAAAAAAAAACCAGCUUUGUAAUAAGUGAGAACUCUCCCCAACUUUUUUCUCUUUCAUUUUUUCUUUGAUUUGUUUUCUUAUAAUAACAGACAAAAUGAUGGUCUGGCUACCUCAGGCAACAAAAUGGCGUCUUCUUUCUCUACCUCACAACCUCCGAGUUUCCCUUGAAUCUCACCUCUGCUUGUAAUGUUUGCUUUGUCUGUGUGGUUGUGAGCAUCUAUCCUUUCUAUUUAAGGUUGUGUGUAACCAUUUGCUUUUAUGGAAAAAAAAAUUCUUGCAGCAAUGGUUUGCUGAAGCUGGUGAAAUGGAUUGGUUUUGUUGACAAAUAGUCUCAGUCUGAAUUGCUGACAUUUCUCAGCCCUCUGCUGGAUUGCACAACAUUGUGCAACUUUAUGUGGAAAUAAAUGAGUUUAUUAGCAAUGAGCUGUGUGUUUGUGGCCGUGUCCGUGUAUGAUAAUAAACAUCUUUUGUGGGUACUUACAGCAAUAAUGACACCACUCUUUUUCAGUUCACCCUUUACCAUAAACUAUGCCAUUAUUCAUUUCAGUGGGAGCAUCUAACCUCAAAGAAUGUUAUGAGAGUAGCUUGUUGAAACAGAGUAAUGGACAGUAGGCUCUGAGUAAUCCUCCACUGGCAGGACUGUGUGAUAGCUGAGCAGAUGGUUUCUUCUCUGUUGGUGGUCUGUAAUAGUUCUACUUGAAACCGUUCACAUCUAACACAGCUUUGCCGCACUAGACCCAGGAAGUUUCAGUGACUGAAAACAGUGCGGUGUUUUCUGGCGUCAGCUCCAGUCGCUUGUGCGGUGAGCCUGUGCCUCCGGGCGUGCUUCCUGAGGCCAUUCAGCUGGCCCGCAGUCUCUGCCCUCACACAGCACCCGUCUAAGAUCACAGAACCAGCCCCUGAAGGUGUGGCCGGCUGAGGCGAGGGGCCUCGGUGGCAUCCAUUCUCCGAGACGACCGGAAAUGAAUGUCUUUCCUUCCACCCACUAGCAGCUGGAUUGUCAGAGGCCUGGCAGCUUAGCUCUCCUGGCUCCCUCCACCGCUGGGAGGCCAGGGAUGCCGGCAGGCAGAACCCAAACCAAGAAUAUAAGAGUUCAAGAACAGUCCCUACUGAAGCCCACACAAACAUCUGCGUGCCGGGGUUCGGCUGUGGUGGGAGAGGCGGAUGCCAAGCUAAUUGGCAAGUAGCCUGGAUCUGCUACCUCGGGGGACUUCGGGGCUUGGUCCUUGAGCCUCCUGCUCAAUAAUGCAAGGGUUCCGAGACGUUCCCUUCCUUCAUCUGACAGAAUGAGAUGCCCUCGAACUGAGGGUUUUGCGAAAGAACAGAAAAAGUACGAGGACACUGGGUGGAGAGGGGAAGAGGACAGAGAAUGAUAAG
rnacentral:lncRNA from 1 species